UCCGUAGGCGGGUAAUUAAGUCAGAGGUGAAAUCCCACAGCUUAACUGUGGAACUGCCUUAGAUACUGGUUAUCUUGAGUUUUAGUGAAGUAGAUAGAAUGUGUAGUGUAGCGGUGAAAUGCAUAGAUAUUACAUAGAAUACCGAUUGCGAAGGCAGUCUACUAACUGUACACUGACGCUAAUGGACGAAAGCGUGGGGAGCGAACAGGAUUAGAUACCCUGGUAGUCC
rnacentral:rRNA from 1 species